AAAAGAAACCAACAGGGAUUGCCCUAGUAACGGCGAGUGAAGCGGCAACAGCUCAAAUUUGAAAUCUGGCGCAAGCCCGAGUUGUAAUUUGUAGAGGAUGCUUCUAGGUAGCGACCGGUCUAAGUUCCUUGGAACAGGACGUCAUAGAGGGUGAGAAUCCCGUAUGUGACCGGCCCGCACCUUCUACGUAGCUCCUUCGACGAGUCGAGUUGUUUGGGAAUGCAGCUCUAAAUGGGAGGUAAAUUUCUUCUAAAGCUAAAUACCGGCCAGAGACCGAUAGCGCACAAGUAGAGUGAUCGAAAGAUGAAAAGCACUUUGGAAAGAGAGUUAAAAAGCACGUGAAAUUGUUGAAAGGGAAGCGCUUACAACCAGACUUCUGGGCGGUGUUCCGCCGGUCUUUUGACCGGUCUACUCGCCGUCCCGAGGCCAACAUCAUCUGGGACCGCUGGAUAAGACCUGAGGAAUGUAGCUCCCCUCGGGGAGUGUUAUAGCCUCUGGUGAUGCAGCGCGUCUCGGGUGAGGUCCGCGCUUCGGCAAGGAUGUUGGCGUAAUGGUUGUCAGCGGCCCGUCUUGAAACACGGACCAAGGAGUCUAACAUCUAUGCGAGUGUUCGGGUGUCAAACCCCUACGCGUAAUGAAAGUGAACGGAGGUGGGAAGGGCAACCUGCACCAUCGACCGAUCCUGAUGUCCUCGGAUGGAUUUGAGUAAGAGCAUAGCUGUUGGGACCCGAAAGAUGGUGAACUAUGCCUGAAUAGGGUGAAGCCAGAGGAAACUCUGGUGGAGGCUCGCAGCGGUUCUGACGUGCAAAUCGAUCGUCAAAU
rnacentral:rRNA from 1 species